AUCAGGUCCGCUCUGUUCACAGUAUUUUGAACUUCCUUUCUGUGUUGACUUUGUAUGUUCUCUGUGUGCCUGCCAAAGUUCACUCUGGCUGUUCAGGUUCCUCCCAGUAUCACAACAUGCAGGUUCUUUGUCCUUGUAGAUCUGAAGUGGUGUCAGGAAGAGCAUCCAAUCUAAAACUUGUGCCAAAUCAAUAUUACAAUCAUAAAAAUGGGAGUUCCAAAGUGAAGAUGGAUGACCUGCUUUGGCAACCCCAAACAAACUGGAGGAGUCGAAUGGAAAAAAAAAAAAAAAAAAAUCCAGCCAUCACUUCAGCUGUACAUUUGGAUCUCAACCUCUUAUAAGUUGUGUUCCUUAUGCAUCAUUUUCUUUUAAAGUUUUCAUGUUAAAGAUUGGCAUCAAUGGAAUAAAUGUUAGUCAUAGUGCUUUGACAUCUAUACACAACGGUGGUCACAUCGAUGUGAAUGUUAAUAAUGUUAAUAAUGUGGAACACUAUUCAAUUCUCUGUACUGCAUACAGGAAAAACAAAUCGACCUAAAAUGCAUUGCAUGUCAACCUCUGGAUUUUUUUUUGUUUCACUUUGUCAUACCUGGCUAAUGUGCUUAUUUUUAAAACUUUUUUAGCAUUUGUUUACUGUUACUUUCACAUGCAUUAGUUCAAAGUCUGUUGUACUGGAGGUGUGCAAAAAAAAAAUUCUUGCAAUAAGUAGUAUUUAACAAAUAAAAUUAAUUUAUAAUUUAAAAUCCUUCAAAAUUAUCUUGUUUAUUUCCAACAUACAAACACAAACAAGCCAAUAAACUGAACAAUGGUGGUGGUAAAAUGAGAAACCUACGACCACCAACAGGCUCCUCAAGUCUGGCAGGGACCAGCUCUGUUUGUGCCUGCAUAGAUGUCUGGGCAUGU